rnacentral:rRNA from 1 species
AUUGAACGCUGGCGGCAGGCCUAACACAUGCAAGUCGAGCGGAUGAAGGGAGCUUGCUCCUGGAUUCAGCGGCGGACGGGUGAGUAAUGCCUAGGAAUCUGCCUGGUAGUGGGGGAUAACGUCCGGAAACGGGCGCUAAUACCGCAUACGUCCUGAGGGAGAAAGUGGGGGAUCUUCGGACCUCACGCUAUCAGAUGAGCCUAGGUCGGAUUAGCUAGUUGGUGGGGUAAAGGCCUACCAAGGCGACGAUCCGUAACUGGUCUGAGAGGAUGAUCAGUCACACUGGAAAUGAGAAACGGGCCAGACCUCCACGGGAGGCAGGAGGGGGGAAUAUUUGACCAUUGGCGGAAGCCUUAUCCAGGCAUGCCGCGGUUUGUAAGAAGGUUUUCGGAUUUUAAAGCACUUUAAGUUGGGAGGAAGGGCAGUAAGGUAAUACCUUGCUGGUUUGACGUUACCAACAGAAUAAGCACCGGCUAACUUCGUU